rnacentral:tmRNA from 1 species
GGGGGUGCACUGGUUUCGACAGGGGUAUUGAAGGAUUGAGUGCGUGUCUAGGUUGGUCGGCAGGCCUAGUAAAAAGCCGCCCACAUGUAUUCGGAAACGAAACAGAAUUUGCAAUGGCUGCAUAGUUUUAUAACUAUAGCGCUCGCUGCGGGGCCUACACCAAUAACAACAAGUAGGUAAAGACCUUGUGAGAAAGGUCCGUAAACUAAAGCUCAGCAGGGAGUCGGGACACCUGUCUAAAAGCUCACCGAGGUUUGUUUUUUAUACAAAAAAUUCACAGCCGUCAUUUGCUCUAAUAUGACUACACACGUAGGACUCUCUUUUAGAUGUACUUUUGGACGUCGGUUCGAUUCCGACCACCUCCACCA